UUGCAACCAACCAAGUUAAUGCUCCUUUCCCUCCCAUGGGGCCAAGUGUGCAAACAGCACCUUGGGGUAGUAUCCACAGCCUGCUGCUCCUUAUAGGUUGCCCUAAGGGACCCUGCAGACAGCC
ensembl:snoRNA SNORA70 Small nucleolar RNA SNORA70